rnacentral:miRNA from 14 species
GAAAUGCCUCCAUGAGAUCCAGCUGUAAGGCAUUUUCUCAAUUAGUGAUCAAGGUGGGGAAGGCCUCUUGUUGGUGGUGCCAUCCCUGGGCUGAUAGUCUUG